rfam:Zea mays cultivar B73 chromosome 5, whole genome shotgun sequence.
GGUCGUCUAGCUCAGUUGGUAGAGUGUAAGGCUCUUAACCUUGUGGUUGUGGGUUCGAGCCCCACGGUGGGUG